rnacentral:lncRNA from 1 species
GAGAGCUAAUGUUUGUUGGGUAUUUUGGUUUGACACUGCUUCACACCCAAAAAGAAGGGAGCUACGUCUGAGUGAAACUUGGAGAUGGAAGUCUUCUUUCGUUUCUCGAUGGUGAAGUAAGACCAAGCUCAUGAGCUUAUUAUCCCAGGUCGGAACAAGUUGAUAGGAUCCCCUUUUUUACGUCCCCAUGCCCCCCCGUGUGGCGACAUGGGGGCAAAAAAAGGAAAGAGAGGGAUGGGUUUCUCUCACUUUUGGC